rnacentral:rRNA from 1 species
CCUACGGGAGGCAGCAGUGGGGAAUAUUGCGCAAUGGGCGAAAGCCUGAUGCAGCGAUGCCGCGUGUGUGAUGAAGGUCUUCGGAUCGUAAACCUCUGUCAGCGGGGAGGAACGGUCACUGUGCUAAUCAGCAGUGCAUUGACGGUACCUGCAAAGGAAGCACCGGCUAACUCCGUGCCAGCAGCCGCGGUAAUACGGAGGGUGCGAGCGUUAAUCGGAAUUACUGGGCGUAAAGCGCACGCAGGCGGUUUGUCAAGUCAGGGGUGAAAUCCCCGCGCUCAACGUGGGAACUGCCUUUGAUACUGGCAAACUUGAGUCUCUGAGAGGAUAGUAGAAUUCCAGGUGUAGCAGUGAAAUCCGUAGAGAUCUGGAGGAACAUCAGUGGCGAAGGCGACUAUCUGGCACAUAACUGACGCUGAGGAGCGAAAGCGUGGGUAGCAAACAGGAUUAGAUACCCCUGUAGUC